rnacentral:sRNA from 1 species
CUUGUCUCCCCAGGCACGUUCCCAGGCUCGCAGCCCCAGGCACCUGCUAGCCCCGUUCUGCCCGCCAGGCCACCUCCGCCACCCCUGCCCCGCCGACCCAGCACACCUAGGCAGGGCCCUGUGGGGAGCGGGCGCCGGGAGUGCUACUUUGACACAGCGGCCCCGGAUGCAUGUGACAACAUCCUGGCUCGGAAUGUGACGUGGCAGGAGUGCUGCUGUACUGUGGGUGAGGGCUGGGGCAGCGGCUGCCGCAUCCAGCAGUGCCCGGGCACCGAGACAGACGUGGACGAAUGUCAGCUCUUCCGAGACCAGGUGUGCAAGAGUGGCGUGUGCGUGAACACGGCCCCGGGCUACUCAUGCUAUUGCAGCAACGGCUACUACUACCACACACAGCGGCUGGAGUGCAUCGAUAAUGACGAA